UACGUAGGUGGCAAGCGUUGUCCGGAUUUACUGGCGUAAAGAGCGCGCAGGCGGUCGUCCAAGUCGCGUGUGAAAGCCCCCGGCUCAACUGGGGAGGGUCACGCGAUACUGGUCGACUCGAAGGCAGGAGAGGGUAGUGGAAUUCCCGGUGUAGUGGUGAAAUGCGUAGAUAUCGGGAGGAACACCAGUGGCGAAGGCGACUACCUGGCCUGUUCUGACGCUGAGGCGCGAAAGCUAGGGGAGCAAACGGG
rnacentral:rRNA from 1 species